rnacentral:lncRNA from 10 species
GCCUUUGCAACUGCCUGUGAUCGAACCUGAAAAGCCACACCUAGGUUUUUAACCAUGUGCUGGACUCCUCAGAUAGUUCUACCCAUGGAUCUACCGCUUCCUAGGAAGGUCACCUGGCAUGGAGGCCUGAUGCCACAAUCUUGGACCCUAGGAUACAGGGGUACACUGAGGACUUGAAGCGGGGGCUUCAGAACCCCAGGAAGAGAGGUGCAUCUUCCUUCACAAGCCCCUGGCAUGGUGCUGUUUAGACUCCAAGAUGGCUGGCUUUAAGCUUAAAGGGAUAUAAAUUAUGGGUAUCUGAUACAAGCUACAGAGGAGGAGAAACUCAGAGGGGAGACCCCAGAGUGUCAGCCUGGGGUUGGCCUCCCCUGCCCUCAGCCCCAGGAUCCUGCACCUCUCCCUUACUCUCCAGAUAAGAAACAGGCCUCUGCUGCCCUCACAGCUGGGGCAAUGGCAGCAGCGGAAAAGGAUGUUCUACAUUCCGCUGACACCAUCUGAUUUGUUGGGAGCCGAAAAGGCCAAAGAGAUCGUGACCAACUCAGCAUUCCACUGGAGGCUAUAUGAUCAAACAGCAAACUGUUUAUCAUGAAUACAGGAUGUGAGCAAACUCACGACUGCACCUGCCGCCAGAAGGUUUGCUGAGGGCGGUCACUCCCUGGCGCCGGCUCCUUGAAGUUAUCUUCUGGGACAUCUAGGGCCUACUGUUCAAGGAAUACAGUCUUGCAAGCCUACUCUAGAUGGAGCAGCUGACCUCUUCUUCCACCCCUCCUUCUCGCUAUCUCUUUUGCCUAAUAAAUAUGGAGGGCUGUGUAAAGUUCAGGGCCCUUGUCCACUAGAGGCAAGGUGCCCCCUGACCCCUUCUUCCAAACACAUUCUUUUGUUCUCUUGUCUUUGUUCCCGCGUUCGUCCCCCUUUGUUCAGUCCCCCAAGGUCCGUGCAGUUUACAAGCGGUGCCCCGAACAGUGACAGGAUUGGGCAGUCUACAAGUAGCACCCCAAACAGUGAGAGAACUAGGCUGUCUUCACUGAUUAGCCUCUCCCACUUGGAAGUGGGCACAACCUUGGAGUGAUAGAUUCUCU